rnacentral:rRNA from 1 species
GAUGAACGCUGGCGGCGUGCCUAAUACAUGCAAGUCGAGCGAACGGACGAGAAGCUUGCUUUUCUGAUGUUAGCGGCGGACGGGUGAGUAACACGUGGAUAACCUACCUAUAAGACUGGGAUAACUUCGGGAAACCGGAGCUAAUACCGGAUAAUAUUUUGAACCGCAUGGUUCAAAAGUGAAAGACGGUCUUGCUGUCACUUAUAGAUGGAUCCGCGCUGCAUUAGCUAGUUGGUAAGGUAACGGCUUACCAAGGCAACGAUGCAUAGCCGACCUGAGAGUGUGAUCGGCCACACUGGAACUGGGACACGGUCCAGACUCCUACGGGAGGCAGCAGUAGGGAAUCUUCCGCAAUGGGCGAAAGCCUGACGGAGCAACGCCGCGUGAGUGAUGAAGGUCUUCGGAUCGUAAAACUCUGUUAUUAGGGAAGAACAUAUGUGUAAGUAACUGUGCACAUCUUGACGGUACCUAAUCAGAAAGCCACGGCUAACUACGUG